UAUCUCAGGCACUCUACUAAGCAUCUUACAGGAGGGCACAGAGAUGUCAGAAUGGUAGGGAGAGAAAAAGACUAUGGGACUACAAUUUAAGCUGGAAGAAGGUGUACCCACAAUAAUGAAAUCACUGAUUGUUCAUGGAUGAAGGCUCAGGACUCUGAACACAAGUCUUGGGAACAGCAGUCCUUCCAGACCACCAGCCCUGCUUCUAUCUCAUUCCAUCACAGCCAUCAUUGAGGCAAGCAAAUCAUGUGGAAGAGGGGCCAGUCGUCUCCAUGAACUAUCCACCAGAUGCCAAACAAGGCAGGUACGCUAGCCUAGCUGAAGUAGCAAGGCCCCUUGAGUGUGAGAGGAGGAGCACGUGCCAGGCAAGCCAUAGUAUCACCACCAACUUGUCCACCAUCUCCCCUCAAACCCUAAUGGAGACCGCUCAGGACCUAAAGCCAAGAGCCUUGCUUCCAGUCCACUGCUCUCAACCAUCAUCCCAGAAACAACCCCUUGUGGAGACACAGCCUGGAAGUGCUCCUGUCUUUGUACCUAUCCCCAGUGCCUGGGGCAAUGCCCAGCAUAGUUGAUACUUGCUAAAAAGCUUACUGAAUUCAGUUCGAUUGAACUCUAGUUCAUCUCCCAUAAAACCAGAUCAAAUAGAGAGAAUUUGGCUUCAAAGAUCGUUGCUAUAUUUGAUGCUAAAUAGGCAAACUCAGUUAACUUACUGUUCUCCUUACGUGUUGCAAGGACCACUCAGUCAUCUUUCUAUCAAGGUAAAUGUUUGUGUAGAAUGCUUUCUUGCUAUC